CCUACGGGGGGCAGCAGUGGGGAAUAUUGGACAAUGGGGGGAACCCUGAUCCAGCCAUGCCGCGUGUGUGAAGAAGGCCCUCGGGUUGUAAAGCACUUUCAGUGAGGAAGAACGCCUGGUGGUUAAUACCCAUCAGGAAAGACAUCACUCACAGAAGAAGCACCGGCUAACUCCGUGCCAGCAGCCGCGGUAAUACGGAGGGUGCCAGCGUUAAUCGGAAUUACUGGGCGUAAAGCGCGCGUAGGUGGCUUGAUAAGCCGGUUGUGAAAGCCCCGGGCUCAACCUGGGAACGGCAUCCGGAACUGUCAAGCUAGAGUGCAGGAGAGGAAGGUAGAAUUCCCGGUGUAGCGGUGAAAUGCGUAGAGAUCGGGAGGAAUACCAGUGGCGUAGGCGGCCUUCUGGACUGACACUGACACUGAGGUGCGAAAGCGUGGGUAGCAAACAGGAUUAGAUACCCCAGUAGUC
rnacentral:rRNA from 1 species